GAUGAAGAACGCAGCAAAAUGCGAUAAGUAAUGUGAAUUGCAGAAUUCAGUGAAUCAUCGAAUCUUUGAACGCACAUUGCGCCCCUCGGUAUUCCGUGGGGCAUGCCUGUUCGAGCGUCAUUUAACCCCUCAAGCCUAGCUUGGUAUUGGGUGCUUGUCCCGCCUCUCGCGCGGCGACUCACCUCAAAGUCAUUGGCAGCCCGCAUCUCGCCGGCCGUGAGCGCAGCACAGACGCGCUCUUGGCAACGACGGAUCGGCUCUCCAAAAGCUUAUUUCAACCACUGACCUCGGAUCAGGUAGGGAUACCCGCUGAACUUAAGCAUAUCAAUAAGCGGAGGA
rnacentral:misc_RNA from 1 species